rnacentral:sRNA from 1 species
UGUUGCUGUUGCUGCUGCUGCUGCUGCUGCUGCUGUUGGGCGGACAUUGCUGCCGCUGCGGCAGCGUGAUGCAUCUGCAGACCCAUUGCGGCGGCUGCAGCAGCGGCU